UACGUAGGGUGCAAGCGUUGUCCGGAAUUAUUGGGCGUAAAGAGCUCGUAGGCGGUUUGUUGCGUCGGCUGUGAAAUCCCGAGGCUCAACCUCGGGUCUGCAGUCGAUACGAGCAAACUAGAGUGUUGCAGGGGAGACUGGAAUUCCUGGUGUAGCGGUGAAAUGCGCAGAUAUCAGGAGGAACACCGGUGGCGAAGGCGGGUCUCUGGGCAGUAACUGACGC
rnacentral:rRNA from 1 species